rnacentral:rRNA from 1 species
AGCAGCCGCGGUAAUUCCAGCUCCAAUAGCGUAUAUUAAAGUUGUUGCAGUUAAAAAGCUCGUAGUUGAAUUUCGAGAUCAAAUUGUUGGUCGUGCCUCGGUACGUACUGGUAAUUUUGGUUUCUCCCUUCUGAAGAACCAUGAUGUCAUUAGUUUGGUGUCUUGGGGAAUCAGGACUGUUACUUUGAAAAAUUGAGUGUUUAAAGCAGGCUCGCGCUUGAAUACAUUAGCAUGGAAUAAUGAAAUAGGACGUUUGAUUCUAUUUUGUUGGUUUCUAGGAUCGACGUAAUGAUUAAUAGGGAUAGUUGGGGCAUUAGUAUUCAAUUGUCAGAGGUGAAAUUCUUGGAUUUAUUGAAGACUAACUACUGACGAAAGCAUUUGCCAAGGAUGUUUCAUUAAUCAAGAACGAAAGUUAGGGAU